CAGCGUCUUUCACUCUGCCCAUUCACCCCGCCACGUGGCGGCCGGGUGAGGGCCUCGGGGCGUCUC
rnacentral:pre_miRNA from 1 species